rnacentral:rRNA from 1 species
GAUGAACGCUGGCGGCGUGCCUAAUACAUGCAAGUCGAGCGAACAGACGAGGAGCUUGCUCCUCUGACGUUAGCGGCGGACGGGUGAGUAACACGUGGAUAACCUACCUAUAAGACUGGGAUAACUUCGGGAAACCGGAGCUAAUACCGGAUAAUAUAUUGAACCGCAUGGUUCAAUAGUGAAAGACGGUUUUGCUGUCACUUAUAGAUGGAUCCGCGCCGCAUUAGCUAGUUGGUAAGGUAACGGCUUACCAAGGCAACGAUGCGUAGCCGACCUGAGAGGGUGAUCGGCCACACUGGAACUGAAACACGGUCCAGACUCCUACGGGAGGCAGCAGUAGGGAAUCUUACGCAAUGGGCGAAAGCCUGACGGAGCAACGCCGCGUGAGUGAUGAAGGUCUUCGGAUCGUAAAACUCUGUUAUUAGGGAAGAACAAAUGUGUAAGUAACUAUGCGCGUCUUGACGGUACCUAAUCAGAAAGCCACGGCUAACUACGUG